UACGGGGGGGCAAGCGUUGCUCGGAAUUACUGGGCGUAAAGGGCUCGUAGGCGGCCAACUAAGUCAUACGUGAAAUCCCUCGGCUUAACCGGGAAACUGCGUCUGAUACUGGAUGGCUUGAAUUCGGGAGAGGGAUGUGGAAUUCCAGGUGUAGCGGUGAAAUGCGUAGAUAUCUGGAGGAACACCGGUGGCGAAGGCGGCAUCCUGGACCGAUAUUGACGCUGAUGCGCGAAAGCCAGGGGAGCAAACGGG
rnacentral:rRNA from 1 species